rnacentral:rRNA from 1 species
GGCUUUCAUUUCAUUAGUGGAACUUGUUGUAUAAUCGACAACCCCCGAUAAAUUUCACUUUAAAACAAAAUUUGUAUAUCGCCAUCUAAAGAAAUAUUUUCAAAAAUUUCUCUCAAUAAAUUAUAAAAAGUUAGGUCAAGGUGCUGUCUAUAUUAAAGAAACUAAUGAGUUACAUCAAACCAAAUUUAAGGACAUUAUAAUCUAAAGAUUUUUAGAAAAAGGAUUUAUAAGUAUAAACUUAAUAAUAUUUUAACUUGAAUUUCUUUACGGAACUGCACAUAUCGCCCGUCACCCUUAUUACAAAA